AAUAGAUACCCAGGUAGUCCUUGCCGUAAACGAUGUAUACUUGGUGUAAUCGGACUCAACCCCGAUUGUGCCGGAGCUAACGCGUUAAGUAUACCGCCUGAGGAGUACGCUCGCAAGGGUGAAACUCAAAAGAAUUGACGGGGACCCGCACAAGCAGUGGAGCAUGUGGUUUAAUUCGAUGCAACGCGAAGAACCUUACCCAGGUUUGACAUGUAGAGGAAAACGACAGAGAUGUCGUCCCCCGCAAGGGCCUCUGCACAGGUGCUGCAUGGCUGUCGUCAGCUCGUGCCGUGAGGUGUUGGGUUAAGUCCCGCAACGAGCGCAACCCUUAUCGUUAGUUGCCAGCGCGUCAUGGCGGGAACUCUAGCGAGACUGCCCGGGUUAACCGGGAGGAAGGUGAGGAUGAUGUCAAGUCCGCAUGGCCCUUAUAUCUGGGGCUACACACGUGCUACAAUGGCCGGUACAGAGGGAUGCCAAGCCGCGAGGCGGAGCAAAUACCAAAAAACCGGCCCCAGUUCAGAUUGUAGU
rnacentral:rRNA from 1 species